GGGAGCCGAAUGCUUGAAUUGGGCACGUUCGGUUCUGAGAGGGGUUGAAUAACAGUUUGUUUAAAUUUUAUUAAUAUUACUUAUUAUUAU
rnacentral:ncRNA from 1 species